rnacentral:rRNA from 1 species
GACGAACGCUGGCGGCGUGCUUAACACAUGCAAGUCGAACGGAAAGGCCCUGCUUUUGUGGGGUGCUCGAGUGGCGAACGGGUGAGUAACACGUGAGUAACCUGCCCUUGACUUUGGGAUAACUUCAGGAAACUGGGGCUAAUACCGGAUAGGAGCUCCUGCUGCAUGGUGGGGGUUGGAAAGUUUCGGCGGUUGGGGAUGGACUCGCGGCUUAUCAGCUUGUUGGUGGGGUAGUGGCUUACCAAGGCUUUGACGGGUAGCCGGCCUGAGAGGGUGACCGGCCACAUUGGGACUGAGAUACGGCCCAGACUCCUACGGGAGGCAGCAGUGGGGAAUAUUGCACAAUGGGCGGAAGCCUGAUGCAGCAACGCCGCGUGCGGGAUGACGGCCUUCGGGUUGUAAACCGCUUUCGCCUGUGACGAAGCGUGAGUGACGGUAAUGGGUAAAGAAGCACCGGCUAACUACGUGCCAGCAGCCGCGGUGAUACGUAGGGUGCGAGCGUUGUCCGGAUUUAUUGGGCGUAAAGGGCUCGUAGGUGGUUGAUCGCGUCGGAAGUGUAAUCUUGGGGCUUAACCCUGAGCGUGCUUUCGAUACGGGUUGACUUGAGGAAGGUAGGGGAGAAUGGAAUCCCUGGUGGAGCGGUGGAAUGCGCAGAUAUCAGGAGGAACACCAGUGGCGAAGGCGGUUCUCUGGGCCUUUCCUGACGCUGAGGAGCGAAAGCGUGGGGAGCGAACAGGCUUAGAUACCCUGGUAGUCCACGCUGUAAACGGUGGGUACUAGAUGUGGGGUCCAUUCCACGGGUUCCGUGCCGUAGCUAACGCUUUAAGUACCCCGCCUGGGGAGUACGGCCGCAAGGCUAAAACUCAAAGGAAUUGACGGGGCCCCGCACAAGCGGCGGAGCAUGCGGAUUAAUUCGAUGCAACGCGUAGAACCUUACCUGGGUUUGACAUGGAUCGGGAGUGCUCAGAGAUGGGUGUGCCUCUUUUGGGGUCGGUUCACAGGUGGUGCAUGGCUGUCGUCAGCUCGUGUCGUGAGAUGUUGGGUUAAGUCCCGCAACGAGCGCAACCCUUGUUCACUGUUGCCAGCACGUUAUGGUGGGGACUCAGUGGAGACCGCCGGGGUCAACUCGGAGGAAGGUGGGGAUGACGUCGAGUCAUCAUGCCCCUUAUGUCCAGGGCUUCACGCAUGCUACAAUGGCUGGUACAGAGAGUGGCGAGCCUGUGAGGGUGAGCGAAUCUCGGAAAGCCGGUCUCAGUUCGGAUUGGGGUCUGCAACUCGACCUCAUGAAGUCGGAGUCGCUAGUAAUCGCAGAUCAGCAACGCUGCGGUGAAUACGUUCCCGGG